rnacentral:tRNA from 2 species
GAGCCUGUAGCUCAGUUGGUUAGAGCGCCAGGUUGUGGCCCUGGAGGCCGUGGGUUCAAAUCCCAUCAGGCUCCCCA